UUCAACAAUAUACAAGAACAAUCAUAUACUAGUGCAACUUUUAGACAACAAUAUGAUUUUGCACAUACAUUAUAUAGAACUUGUAUGUAUACCUCAAUGCUAUACUUAAAGUUCAAACAAGUAAAUAUCAAUAUACAAGCAACUUUUUAUUACAAUUACACGAUAAAUUACAUUGGUCAUAUUACAUUCCUACAUACGAACUGCCUAACUUCUUUGAUCUUGUGUGCUCCUCCAGGUCAAGAGUUCUGUGUGGGCCUGCUUGUACUGCUCCUCCGUGACCUUAUACGUCUGGCAGCACACAUCAUCAGACGAGUCCAUUUUCACAUCCUUGGCAGCACAUACCACCGUCAAGAGGUUAAGGAUCUAUAGUUUAUUUUUAUUUUCUUUGAAACAGAGGCAAAAGCUUUGCCUCGUCCAUUAAAUAAGCGAGAAUAGAGUUUGUUACGAUUUCACCCACAACGCCACAUGAAUUAUUACUCUCGCGAAGUAAAAGACCCUAAUUUUUUAGCACCGACGAUGACCCAAAGGUUGGAUUCGGUCAAGAUGGUGUUAAGCAAGAUAGUCGGUGGAUCACUUUUAAACCUAAACAUUUGCAUUUCGCUCAUUCCAAAUUGUCCACCACACAAGCAUGGUGAGAGAGACUUUGGCUUGUCGGUUUGGCGUGCCGGCGUCACAAGUGCUUGCCCACCAAGCGUCGACGGAGUAGUGCCACGAAGAGGUGUCCAACUUGAAGAUGUGAAAUUUUUCAAUAACCAAGGCCCACAGCCUUAGAGUGUAGCGGCACUUAAAGAAUAGGUGUGACCCGCUUUCUUGCACCCUCUUGCAAAGUAAACACAUACCACAAUUUGGCCACCCUCUCUUGGCUAAUCUAUAAUAGUUUAUGGUAUCAAGUGGAUGAGAUUUACAUACUUACAAAGUGAUAAGAUAAGAUCGUGUUACUGAAGUGACAGGUACAAUACCUUAUGUGUGCAGAGUGCACCCCCAUCUAGCUUUCGAAUCGUCCAGUUCAAGCCUAAAACAUCAAUUAACAGUCUCG
rnacentral:lncRNA from 1 species